rnacentral:piRNA from 1 species
UCCUAAAGGGUUCUGUUAGUUUUC